AUACCAUGGUGCGGACAUAUAACUAACAUUCCUUUGAAUCGUUCCCAUGUUUCUUGCAGUGUUUCCAUUGGUUUCUGUUUGAAGCUCAAAAUUUCAUCAUUGCUUGACU
rfam:Nicotiana attenuata strain TT chromosome 9, whole genome shotgun sequence.